rnacentral:rRNA from 1 species
GAGUUUGAUCAUGGCUCAGAACGAACGCUGGCGGCAUGCCUAACACAUGCAAGUCGAACGAGACCUUCGGGUCUAGUGGCGCACGGGUGCGUAACGCGUGGGAAUCUGCCCUUGGGUUCGGAAUAACAGUUAGAAAUGACUGCUAAUACCGGAUGAUGACUUCGGUCCAAAGAUUUAUCGCCCAGGGAUGAGCCCGCGUAGGAUUAGCUUGUUGGUGAGGUAAAAGCUCACCAAGGCGACGAUCCUUAGCUGGUCUGAGAGGAUGAUCAGCCACACUGGGACUGAGACACGGCCCAGACUCCUACGGGAGGCAGCAGUGGGGAAUAUUGGACAAUGGGCGAAAGCCUGAUCCAGCAAUGCCGCGUGAGUGAUGAAGGCCUUAGGGUUGUAAAGCUCUUUUACCCGGGAUGAUAAUGACAGUACCGGGAGAAUAAGCCCCGGCUAGCUCCGUGCCAGCCGCCGCUGUAAC